rnacentral:lncRNA from 1 species
UGAGGGCAACUAAACUCCGAGUUUAUCAGUUUCUUGGAGAGGGGGAUUUCGAGUGAAAAUACCUCAUUCAAUAGCUGGCCGUCAACAUCCUUCCUCCCGCCGGAAAAGGGUGUUUUUUUCUUUUCAUACCAAAAAAUCUUGACCCCAAUACCAAAUGUACUGAAGGGUGAUUGUAUGAGCGCUAACUCUUCGUUCAACUUGGCAUGUGGACUGAAGCCGUCGAGAAGUGCGGGCGUCUGGGUCCGAGGUGGGAGAUGCAGCUGGCGAUAGACUUUCCAAUCUCAGAUGCUUCGGGCGGUUCCUUACUCCCAUCUGAGAGAGAGACGGCAUUUCUUUCAUAUUCAAGGUGGGCUGCUUUUUAGAAGUUCGGCCCGAUUUUCUAUUUUUGACUAAAAAAGGGGGGGAGGGAUUGACCUUUCUAACGCAUAUUCUGUCGUACCGGCAUGGCCCCACUGAUUUGUUUUCGAUCG